CGCUACCGUUAAGCUUAUGUGCUGUUAUGUUCUGUGGAACCUGCCCUAUGCUUACCUUGAUAGUAUCUGUUUGCACCGUCAAAUUUUGCUACCUUCGUUCUGUGGCUGAACCUCCAGGCAUGUCUGUUGAACUAUUUGCUAUGUGCCUGUGUUACCUGGAAUUCGAAUGAUUGAAGUAGUCCUCGAUGUGUGCUGAUUAUUGUUUUAAUGCUUUGAUGUUUUUUUAUGUCCUUUUCUUUCUUCAGUUAUCGGUGUGCAUAUAUUUAUGGCUCCAUAAAAUGUCAAAAUUUGAAGCUCUGUUUCUAAGUUCUGCACUAUUUGGUUUUUCCAUGAGCCUUUCGUACCCUUAAAAUCGGGAAUUGUCAUGAC
rnacentral:lncRNA from 1 species